AGUAGCACAGGUAGCAGCAGCAAGAGCUACGCCCAACAGCCAACAGCAUGGAAUGAUGGCAGUAUCAUUCAUGGACGGAUGCAGAUCCAUCGAUCGAUCCGCUAAUUUCUCAAUCGAUCUCUGCAACCCGCCCACUAUAUAGAAGUGCCCACCCAGCUUUCCUCCCAACGCGCCCGCUUAACUUCUUCCUCCCCUGCCCUUCCCUGCGCAGCAGCUUACUUCUUCUUCUUCCCUAACUAGGUUGCACACAGAGAGAUCGAGCCAAGAACACCUAUAGACCUAGGUGCGUAGCUGUGUAGCUAGAGAUACAGCAGAGAGAUCAGGCCGGGAGGGAGAGAUCUAUCAAUGAGCAUCUCGGUGAACGGGCAGUCGUGCGUGCCGCCGGGGUUCCGGUUCCACCCGACGGAGGAGGAGCUGCUCAACUACUACCUCCGCAAGAAGGUCGCCUCCCAGCAGAUCGACCUCGACGUCAUCCGCGACAUCGACCUCAACAAGCUCGAGCCAUGGGACAUCCAAGAGAAAUGUAAGAUCGGCUCCGGGCCGCAGAACGACUGGUACUUCUUCAGCCACAAGGACAAGAAGUACCCGACGGGGACGCGCACGAACCGCGCCACGGCGGCGGGGUUCUGGAAGGCCACCGGCCGCGACAAGGCCAUCUACAACGCCGUCAAGCGCAUCGGCAUGCGCAAGACGCUCGUCUUCUACAAAGGCCGCGCCCCGCACGGCCAGAAGUUAGACUGGAUCAUGCACGAGUACCGCCUCGACGACCCCUCCGGCGACGCCGACGCCGCCACGGUCACUGCUGCUACUGCGUCGUCGGACGCCGGCCAGGAGGAUGGCUGGGUGGUGUGCAGGGUGUUCGAGAAGAAGCACCAUCACAAGGAGUCCGGAGGAGGCGGCAGCGGCAAGAACGACCACGGCGGAGGCGACCACGGGCACGGCGCCAAGGCGGCGGCGCACGGCCUGCAGUACUCCUCCAGCAACGACGCCCUCGACCAGAUGCUGCAGUACAUGGGCAAGUCGUGCAAGCAGGAGCACGAGCUUUUCUCGCCGCCGGGCGGUGGCAGUGACGUGGGGAGGGCGGUGUCGAGGUUCCCACGGCCCAUCGAGGCCGUGCUCGGCUGCCACGGGCUUACGAAGCUGCCUCCGCUCGAGAGCCCGUCUGUCACGGCGCUGACGCCGCACGUGCCCAGCGAUGCGCCGGCCGGCUCGGGCGGCGACGACCUCCACGGCGCCGGGAUCACGGACUGGGCCAUGAUGGACCGGCUCGUGGCGUCGCACCUCAACGGGUAUCCCGACGCGUCGACGGACCAGCUGUGCAGCUUCAUCGGCGGCGGCGGCGCGGACGGGCUCGCCUUCGACUCCGCCGGCGCCACGACGAGGCUGCUCGCCGGCGGCCCGGACUCCAGCGGCAGCGACGACGACCUGUGGAGCUUCGCGCGGUCGGCGGCCACGUCGACAGAACGGGCUUGCAGUACGUGGUGCCGUGGCACCUCGCCUCGUAGCAGCCGCCGCACGACCAGCCCUCGUUGAAGAGAGCGCGGUCGUCGUCUCCAGCUCGUACCCCUGCUGGAACAGGGGACGUCGUGCACAUGAUGCAUCCAUGCAUGCACAGGUGCGGUACGGUGUGGCAGUGGGUUAGAGAGUAGAGACGUGCACACGGGCGCGCACAGCUGCCGUCUCGUCCCUCCCAACGAGCACAACCAGAUCCGGCACCUCCGCCCCGGGCCGCACGUACGCUGCCCCGGGCCACACGUACGCCUCACGAAUCACGACUUGGAUCUCCUCUAUGCAUGCGAUACCGAUACAUUGUCUCGUGGGUGUCUUCUUCCUCUGGCGCCGGCAGCGGCUCGUCCAGACGUCCACCCACGACGUCGACGUCUGGAAAAUUAAGCUCGCCGUCGACGAGCAGUUGGUGAUUCUCCACGUCCAUGUCCAUGCCACGGGCGGAGUAGGCGAUUGACUCGGCCAGAGCCAUGCAACAUACGGUGCUCGAGAGAUUGCCAUGGGUCGAGCCCAGCGUAGAUUGUGUGUCAUAUUGGCUGGAAAGUAGAUGCUUUGUAGGAGGACUGUCAUUAUGGGCAUUACUGCUAGCUUACUCUGAUGGAUCUACAUACAAUACGAAAGAAAAUAAGCUACAGUUGACACUCCCAUGCUGCUUCAUAGUAGUAUCCUCAGGAUAGGUUAGUUGAAGCUUGGUCAUCAGUUACCCCUGCUGAUGCGUCAUCAACCUGCCUCCUAAUCCUAGGUUCAGACCGUGCACAGUGAUCCUCUAGUCCAAUUAAGAUCCUCGGGUUAGUCUAAUUAAGCUCCUGCGUGCGCGCGCCCUGCCAACGUCACAGGUUGGCUUGUGCACUGGCAUGCACUCAGCCGCCGUCCGAACGAGCUGCGGCAAUGCAUCGGCCACAAAGAAGACGCGCGAGCUGCAACAGCCGAGCCGAAACGAGCGAUGGCUCCCGCGGCGGCGCGGGCAGACGAUCCCAGCCCCAGGCAACGCUGCCUCAGGGCACUUGGAGCUUUAAAGAAGGCAGUUGCAGACCAGAGAGGAACACGCAUGUCAGGUGCUCAGUUUGGACUUUGGAGCAGCGGAUGCAGCCCACGAGCCUAAAGGAGACUUGUUUAACCCAUAGUCUAUUAUUUAACCGAAUGCAGAUGAGAUGGAGAAAUACCGUCUAGUAUUUAAUCAAUGUUCUAUUAGAUAUUUUGACAUCGUCUAAACUAUAGUAUACAUAGUUAUUACUGUUUUAUAAUAUUACAGGUGAGUCUUAUUGAUAAUUUUUAUAGACCAUACAUUAUAAUAUAUGUUA